UACGUAGGGUGCGAGCGUUGUCCGGAAUUAUUGGGCGUAAAGGGCUCGUAGGCGGUUUGUCGCGUCGGGAGUGAAAACACCGGGCUUAACUCGGUGCUUGCUUUCGAUACGGGCAGACUAGAGGCAUGCAGGGGGAGAACGGAAUUCCUGGUGUAGCGGUGAAAUGACGCAGAUAUCAGGAGGAACACCGGUGGCGAAGGCGGGUCUCUGGGCCGGUACCGACGCUGAGGAGCGAAAGCGUGGGGGAGCGAACAGG
rnacentral:rRNA from 1 species